rnacentral:lncRNA from 1 species
UGUCCAGCGGGGCACGCCGCCCAUCACCUACACAUGGUAUCACACAAAGAGUGCCCUGCCCCUGCUGUCCAAGACCACCAAUGACAUGCGAUUAUCCCACUUGGUUCAAGGUGUCAGUAGAGAGCAUGGAGGCGGAUACUACUGCGUCACUAACAACCCAUCCAAUGACAGCCAGAGGAGUGCCAUGGUCACUGUUGGAGUGAAGUUGGCUGGCUGGAAGAAGGGGCUGAUCGCAGCAUUCUGCAUCCUGCACAGUGUCUCUCAUCAUCAUCAUCCUGGUUAAGAAAUGCCUUCUUCCAUUUAGAAGAGAGAGAACAGUGGAACUGUCAGUGAAACCAGCAAGCACUAAAACAGACGAGACUCUGAGACUGACCCAUGGAAAAGUCAAUGAGGCUGCCAAUGCUUGGCUCAGGGUAAAGAGCAGUCACUCCUGGGGUAAUGGGAAGGAGUGUCUGGAGUGAUCACGUCUCAGAGUCUGACGACCAGACCAGCGAGGAAACUACUGAGGUACCUGUGCCACAAUACACUGAGGUCCAUCCCCAGGAGGUAGACCUCACCAGAGCCCCCGUGAAGAAAGGCACAGACACUGUGUACAGCAAAGUGCUGAAUUCGAAUCAAGCAAGGCUCAGUUGAGUAUGCCCAGUUAAACCACAAUGACCAUGAGUCAGAAGAACCAGAGUACGAACCAGACCAAGAACCCCGGCCUGAACCAGAGCCAGAACCAGAACAAGGAUCAGAGCAAGACGGACAACUUGAAUGACCACCAUCAAUAUUUAUUCUCUAAUUUAUUCAGCCCAUUGAACAACUGGAGCUGUUAUUGAUUUGAAUCCAUUUGUAUAUUGUCACAAAAAAUGUCGUACUCCUCACAGAAAAUGUCGUAUGGGAGAGAAUAGGACCAAGGCGCAGCAGGUUUGUGGAUACUCAUGCUUUUAAUGGUAAAACGAAAGGGCAUCCACAGGAAAAACAAAAUAAUAGACAGUACUCACGACACGAACAGUUUUGCAGGCUCACAAACACUGUGCAAAAACAACUACCCACAAAACCAAGUGACAAACAUACUCCUACAUAUAUGACUCCCAAUCAGGAACAACGAUCCCCAGCUGUUCCUGAUCAGGAGUCACAAGACCAACACAGAACAUUCACACACACAAGACUGCCACGUCCUGACCCCAAAACUACUACAACAGCUCCCCCUGCUGGUCAGGACGUGACAUAUAUUUUCUAUAUUUUUUACACCUCUUCUUCUUAACCUUUCGUACAGUCUUUAAAUGCCUGUAAUUAUGCCUUUGUGAAUUGAGAAUAAAACAAUGCAGCAGAAUGGGAG